AGACGCUGCCCCGGCUGCGGCGAGGACGCCACGGUACCAGCGGAGGAUCCUCGGGCUCGGCGGCUGCGGGUCCCCGCUGUGGAACUUUUUACCGCCUUUGCGUUCCAGAUUGGAGACUCGGGCUGGUUUCUAAAUACAUCUGUACAUAUGUGUGAGCUAAUAAAACAUUUUCUCCUCUCCUUGAAGCGGCAGCUUUUUAUGACAUCUCCUUUAUGUCAGAGACACUUGCCUUGCUUCUUUGGGUUAUAAACUUUUGAUGCCAGACCUCGGCAGGACGUGCCCAACUGAAUGUUAAAGUAGCAUCUCGAAGAGAGGCAGAGCCAGAGCAAUCUGUGACCUUCAUCCCUGCUCCUUCUUCCUUCCUCUCCCUUCCCGGCUGCCUCCCUCCUCCCCAGGGGAGCGUCAAGAAAGCUCUUUUUGGAUGCAGGAGGGGGCAUCUGGUUCUGCUAGGCUGGAAAGCUGAGGCAGGAUUUGAGGAAGAAUCAUUAGACUCGGGAGAGGCUGGACUCUGCUGCUCCUUUCCCUCUCCGCUUCUGGCUCGCUCCAGCCCUUUCCUCUACCCCCGCACGGCUGCCCGAGACCCGCCGGCGUGCGGGGCGGGGGACGAGGACCUCGCCGGUGCCGGAGUUCUGGGAAGUUGUGGCUGUCGAGGAUGGGGGUCUGUGGGUACCUGUUCCUGCCCUGGAAGUGCCUCGUGGUCGUGUCUCUCAGGCUGCUGUUCCUUGUACCCACAGGAGUGCCCGUGCGCAGCGGAGAUGCCACCUUCCCCAAAGCUAUGGACAACGUGACGGUCCGGCAGGGGGAGAGCGCCACCCUCAGGUAGGGAGCUGAGAGAGCAGAGGGCUUGCGUGGGGGACUGGAGCGUGUGAGAGGGCCUUUUGCAGGCCCAAGAGGUGCCCGCUUGGCGUUCAGUGGCGGUUAAGCCCCACUCUCCUGGACAGCUUUGUCAUUUGCUGUGGCUUUUCUGAUCCCGGAUCUUAGGAGUGAGCCCCCCACCCCCCAGGUCCGUGCUUGGGACUCCGUGUAUCUGUGAGGCCAUGUCCUGUUUAGACUCACCUUUGCCUUGGCACGGGGAGGAGAGCCCCGGCGUUGAAAUCCUGGGGGCUUAACCUGAGAUCACUGUGCCUUGGUGGCUGUCUCAGUUCAGAAGGUAUGUGACAAGGUAGGAUAGUCCUCCUGGUGGACUGGCUCGCCUCUGUCAGAGAUACGUGAAAUUUCUGCCUCUGGAAUUGCCAGUGCUGGGCCAUGGCCCUUUAUGAGUCUGCUUAAGAGGCAGCCAUGCAUGCCAACCCUCUGUGGGCUCCUGGGGCCCCUAUUAUAAAUUAUGAGGGCAGUUUUAUCUUUGCCAGCUCUGGCUCUGGCCAUGGAGAGGAAACAUGUAGCUUUUGUGCAACGACAACACUCCUGUGUGAAAAGCACAAUAGGAAAGCUUUUUGUUUUACCUUAAUGAGUAACAGAGAAUCACUUACAGGCUCCAGGCAGAGGGGUGGAGAUUCUUGGAAUAUGAACCUUUGGGGACCAGGCCUGCUGCAGCAGAGACUUUAAUAAAAAUGCAGCCACCACUUUCCACCAGCUCAGCAGAUAUCAUCUUUUAUCCCUUUAAUGAGGCAGUUCUGGUCCUCAGAGACAGAUUCAGGGACGUCCCAGCUUAACUCUGCUCACAGUGUACACAGGGUGAAUGCAUUCGCCCUGUCUAUGACUUUGAUGGUUACGGGGGAAAUAAAACACUGUGCCCCAGAUUCUGCAGCAAGAAAGCCUGGCUUCUCCAAGGAACAGAUGAGGGUGGGACUCCUUUCCCGUUCGUCUCUUGGCUUCCCUGGUUGAACUCUCUCCAACUAGAUAAGUCUCCCCCUGGGGAAGAAAAGAAAGACCUCUUGGGGACACCCCCCCCCCCGCAACUUGGUCUUCCUUCCUGAACCUAGGCAUUAUGGUUGCUUCUUGCCACUUUGGGUGGUCCUCAGUUGAAUCUUCUUCUGAGCUCGAGGACAGGUUCUAGAACCCCGUCCGCUCAUGCGUGGGACCCCAGGAGGAGAGAAAAAAUAGGAGGAUGGAAACAGAUCUCUUUUCUAGACAGCAGGAGGGAAACCCUCCUGGCCAUGAGGGCACCCUCGGGCUGGCCCAGAUGAGAGGGAGUGUAACAUGCCUACUUCCUCGCCUUAGAGAAAUCUCAGGGGUCCACGCCCUGAGAUAUACGCAUGCCAAGGACCAGUCUGCUCAAUGUGGGGAAAUGAUAGGUGGGAAGGGAUGUUGCUGCUGGCAAGCACCUCUCUUCAUCCUCUAAGCUAUGAAUGGGGACAAAGGGCCCUAGCAUGGAAUAAGGUCUCUGGGCUGAAGUUUCCGAAAUCCUCUGUCCUCUUCCUGCCCCUGAAAGUUAAACCAGAAACUUAAAAAACUGGAGCUUUCUGCUUUCCAGACUGCAGGAAGACGGUUCCACCAGCAGAGGGCCAGCUUCGCUCUGCCUUGUUUUAUUAGCGGCUGGCCUGUUUUCAUGAUCUUUCAAUUCUAAUGUUUAGCAGCUGGGCUUCGUAAUGGCAAUGGGAAUAAAAACGGGAAAAGCUGAAUAGUUGCUUUUUGUGCUUUGU
ensembl:lncRNA